CCCAAAGGUUCCCUCAGCGCGAACGGAAACCGCGCAAAGAGUGUAAAGGCAGAAGGGAGCUUGACUGCGAGUCAGACACGACGAGCAGGUACGAAAGUAGGGCUUAGU
rnacentral:misc_RNA from 1 species